GGUAAAAUGGUCGAGUGUUUAGGCAGUGAAGUGUAGUUUCAUUAAUAGGGGUUUAAUUCCUCUUUUUACCA
rnacentral:tRNA from 1 species